rnacentral:rRNA from 1 species
GACGAACGCUGGCGGCGUGCCUAAUACAUGCAAGUAGAACGCUGAAGGAAGGAGCUUGCUCUUUCCGGAUGAGUUGCGAACGGGUGAGUAACGCGUAGGUAACCUGCCUGGUAGCGGGGGAUAACUAUUGGAAACGAUAGCUAAUACCGCAUAACAGUAGAUAUCGCAUGAUAUUUGCUUGAAAGGUGCAAUUGCACCACUACCAGAUGGACCUGCGUUGUAUUAGCUAGUUGGUGAGGUAACGGCUCACCAAGGCAACGAUACAUAGCCGACCUGAGAGGGUGAUCGGCCACACUGGGACUGAGACACGGCCCAGACUCCUACGGGAGGCAGCAGUAGGGAAUCUUCGGCAAUGGACGGAAGUCUGACCGAGCAACGCCGCGUGAGUGAAGAAGGUUUUUCGGAUCGUAAAAGCUCUGUUGUAAAG